rnacentral:rRNA from 1 species
GCAGUCGAACGGUAACGCGAGGAGCUUGCUCCUUGGCGACGAGUGGCGGACGGGUGAGUAAUGCUUAGGAAUCUGCCCAGUAGUGGGGGACAACACGGGGAAACUCGUGCUAAUACCGUAUACGUCCUACGGGAGAAAGUGGGGGCUCUUCGGACCUCACGCUAUUGGAUGAGCCUAAGUCGGAUUAGCUUGUUGGUGGGGUAAAGGCCCACCAAGGCGACGAUCCGUAGCUGGUCUGAGAGGACGAUCAGCCACACUGGGACUGAGACACGGCCCAGACUCCUACGGGAGGCAGCAGUGGGGAAUAUUGGACAAUGGGGGCAACCCUGAUCCAGCAAUGCCGCGUGUGUGAAGAAGGCCUGCGGGUUGUAAAGCACUUUCAGUAGAGAAGAAAAGCUCAGGGUUAAUACCCCUGAGUCUUGACGUAACCUACAGAAGAAGCACCGGCUAACUCCGUGCCAGCAGCCGCGGUAAUACGGAGGGUGCGAGCGUUAAUCGGAAUUACUGGGCGUAAAGCGCGCGUAGGCGGUUGGAUUAGUCGGAUGUGAAAGCCCAGGGCUUAACCUUGGAAUUGCAUUCGAUACUGUCCAGCUAGAGUAUGGGAGAGGGAAGCGGAAUUUCCGGUGUAGCGGUGAAAUGCGUAGAUAUCGGAAGGAACACCAGUGGCGAAGGCGGCUUCCUGGACCAAUACUGACGCUGAGGUGCGAAAGCGUGGGGAGCGAACAGGAUUAGAUACCCUGGUAGUCCACGCCGUAAA